AUUGAACGCUGGCGGAAUGCUUUACACAUGCAAGUCGAACGGCAGCACGGGGGCAACCCUGGUGGCGAGUGGCAAACGGGUGAGUAAUACAUCGGAACGUGCCCAGUCGUGGGGGAUAACGUAGCGAAAGUUACGCUAAUACCGCAUACGAUCUCAGGAUGAAAGCGGGGGACCGUAAGGCCUCGCGCGAUUGGAGCGGCCGAUGUCAGAUUAGGUAGUUGGUGAGGUAAAGGCUCACCAAGCCUGCGAUCUGUAGCUGGUCUGAGAGGACGACCAGCCACACUGGGACUGAGACACGGCGCAGACUCCUACGGGAGGCAGCAGUGGGGAAUUUUGGACAACGGGCGCAAGCCUGAUCCAGCCAUUCCGCGUGCAGGACGAAGGCCUUCGGGUUGUAAACUGCUUUUGUACGGAACGAAAAGCCUUGGGCUAAUACCCCGAGGUCAUGACGGUACCGUAAGAAUAAGCACCGGCUAACUACGUGCCAGCCGCCGCAGUAA
rnacentral:rRNA from 1 species